rnacentral:rRNA from 1 species
AGAGAGAGACAUGCGCGCAUAUCAAUAAGCGGAGGAAAAGAAACUAACAAGGAUUCCCCUAGUAACGGCGAGUGAAGCGGGAAGAGCUCAAAUUUGAAAUCUUAAAGGGUUUCCCUUUACGAAUUGUAGUUUAAAGAAGUGUUUUCUGUUGAGGUUUUGGUAAAAGUUCUUUGGAAUAGGACAUCAUAGAGGGUGAGAAUCCCGUAUUUGACCUUUACUUUCAACUUUGUGAUACACUUUCAAAGAGUCGGAUUGUUUGGGAAUGCAGUCCAAAAUGGGUGGUAAAUUUCAUCUAAAGCUAAAUAUUGGCGAGAGACCGAUAGCGAACAAGUACCGUGAGGGAAAGAUGAAAAGAACUUUGAAAAGAGAGUUAAACAGUACGUGAAAUUGUCAAAAGGGAAGCGUUUGACACCAGUGUUGUUUUUCUGAAAAUCAAUUAAAGAACUGUUUAUGCUAAGUUGUUUAGACUUUAUCAGCUAACUGUUUAGUUUUGAGCUUUUCUUUAAUGCACUUUUCAGUUAACAAGUCAACAUCAAUUUCUUUUGCUGUAAAAAAGCUUGAGGAAGGUGGCUUGAGAUUCGUCUUAAGUGUUUAUAGCCUCUUGCCUAUGCAGUCGGAGAGAUUGAGGUCUGCAGCGUAGAUCCUUCGGGGCUAAAUGCAUUUGUGCUAAGUUAUAGCAUUUUAUAGACAACUUGUUGACUAUGAUUUGUCUUGUAGCUUACUCGCUUAUGUUAUUUUACCUACGCUUAGGAUGUUGAAGACUCUACAGAGAUAU